ensembl:lncRNA
UGUCUGAUUCAGUGACAAACUUGGUUGAUAGUGCGUGGAAAUCCAGGUCGCCCAUGAGUGUGAAAGUCAUUAUUACUUCCUUACAGCUCUUCUCGGACCUGAUCAUGCCCUGUGGUUCUGGCUCCUUCCUCAGUCCCUUUACAAGAAGUCUCACAACUACAAGAUGAUAAAAAUGCCUCUGAGGAACAUUUGACUGUUGGUCACAAAUUCCAAGUGGAUUUUGUUCUGCUUUCUGGACUUCCCUAUAGGAGCUAUGAAUUUCAUGACCUCACCAAACAUCCUGAUAUAGAAGAAGCAAUGAGAGACAAAUGGCUGAAUGAAGGAAGUAACGGGAAAUGACUGAGUUCACUAAUGCACAAAAGCAGAAAUGUUCAACUAUAACUGGCUGAAACUUUGAAGGUUUUAAAGUACAAUUA